CGUGCCUGCCCCGGCUUCUGCCCAGGACCCUGAUCCUGGCAGCCAGAAAUAACACGGGAAUCUCCCGAGAGGGUGCACUUGUGGGAGGAAGAAAGGAGACCACCUAUCCAUAAGAAGCGACGUGAGUCAAAGGUUUAAAGUUGCAUAUGGGUGUUUAGGAGGAGCAGCAAGAAUAGGAAAUCAGAGAAACUCUUCCAAGAAAAAACUGACCCUUGACUGCGCACGUCCACUUAUACGCAGACAUUCUUCCCCUCUGCCACGCCUGAGACAGCAAGACCAGCCCCUCCUCUCCCUCCUCCUCCUCAGCCUACUCAGUGGAAAGCCGAUGAAGAUGAAGACCUCUAGGAUGAUCCACUGCCACUUAAAGAACACACAGCUCAGGCUUCAUCUGCACCAGGAGAACUUCUAGAACCCCUUCUUGGAAGAUACACAUCUUAUGUUCUUUUUACCUGAGGUCCAGUUUAAUCACCUGAGGCUCCGUCUCUCACCCUCUGGACUGUG